rnacentral:lncRNA from 1 species
AUUUAUACUGUGGGUUUUUCCUAUUCUCUGUUUCUUUGAAAGAGAUUCUAAGAAAAAUAUAAUACAUAUCUCUUGCCUUGCUUUCUUCUCAUCACUAUUUUUCAACAAUAACAAAACCAAGAACUAACAAUAUUUCCAAAAUUAUCAUCAUCAUCAUAUUCUGUAUAUUAAUAGCAAAACAUGGUUAAUUGGAUAUGUGGAUAUCCUUUUUGCAGUCAGACCACUGUACUAAUUCCUAUCAAUAGAUUAUUAUCUAAGGCAGUGGUUCUCAACCUUCCUAAUGGCAUGACCCUUUAAUACAGUUCCUCAUGUUGUGGUGACCUGCAAC